UGCAGGAGAAAGAGCAGUUGAUAACAAUUUUUGGUUUAAAUGAAUAUUUUUAGAAGUACAUAAGUGAAUCCAUUUUGACAGGUUAGUGUGAGGGAUAGGUCCUAUUCCCAAGGCUUCCUUCCACGAAGAAAUAAAGUAAAACCUUAUUUAACAGGUCCAGGUUUGUUAACCUAAAUCUCUUGAUGAUUAAACAUAUGUAUCUCUCAUUUAAAAUGUUAUGCAUGCAUAUUGUAAUUUUGAAGAAAUUUUUCAUUAUUUUGAUGGACUGCAAUGCUUAUUCCCCUCCCCCUUCCCGGCCAUGUAGGAUCUGAACAUGCUGAAGUAAAGCAGGACAGUGAAAAACCACUUUUAGAACUAUCAGGACUCCUUUUGCUAAAAGAAGGCUUGGAAGAAUCAAUAGUAGUGACAAUUGAGACGAGAACUAGAAGAAAGGGGAGCAAGUGUCAGUCAAUUAUUCAUGACCGUUAUUCGACAGUGUGCGUAUCUGUUUAUAUGAGUAUUUGUAAAUGCACAUACACACACACACACACAAUCCACUGACAGAGAGACCAUCCUUAAAAAUAUGAGUCCUACAAUUCCAGGAAUAGUUCAUCUGAUUCUAUAUAAUUCAGUAGAUCUAAUUUAUGUACCGUGUUUCUGCACAGGAAGAUGUUGACCUUCAUGACAAAGGCAAUUUUUUCUUCUUUAUCACAACUGGAGGGUAAUAUCCAAGACUAUCUUGUUUUCCUUAUGUAUUCACAGCUCCUAGCACAGUGACUGCCACAAAGGAGGUGUUGGAGAAACAUUUGUAGAAUGGUAAAAUGCACAGAAAAUGUGGCUACUCUGCAGUCUUCAGCAAACACUGCUGACGUGAAAAGUUGCUACCAAAAUCAAUUCAUGAAAUCUUAGAAUUCAUCAGAAAAUCUGAUGUUGGAAAAAAUCUGGUUUUGGACAAUGUGUCAGUGAAGAAAAGGAAAGCAUCCAUAUCUUUCCAAAUCAUGCAUAUCCCCAUAUUCCCAACUCAUGCACAUGAUUUUCUGAACGUGUGAUGUUUGUUGAUGUGACAAUAUGAAUAGAACAAUAUGAAUAAAAGCUGAUAGCUAUUGAGUGAUUAUUCCUGU
rnacentral:lncRNA from 1 species